rnacentral:rRNA from 1 species
UACGUAGGGCGCAAGCGUUGUCCGGAAUUAUUGGGCGUAAAGAGCUCGUAGGCGGUUUGUCGCGUCUGCUGUGAAAACUCGAGGCCCAACCUCGGGCUUGCAGUGGGUACGGGCAGACUAGAGUGCGGUAGGGGAGACUGGAAUUCCUGGUGUAGCGGUGAAAUGCGCAGAUAUCAGGAGGAACACCGAUGGCGAAGGCAGGUCUCUGGGCCGUAACUGACGCUGAGGAGCGAAAGCGUGGGGAGCGAACAGG